UACGUAGGGUGCGAGCGUUAAUCGGAAUUACUGGGCGUAAAGCGUGCGCAGGCGGUUCGUUAAGUCAGAUGUGAAAGCCCCAGGCUCAACCUGGGAACUGCAUUUGAAACUGGCGGGCUUGAGUGUGGCAGAGGGGGGUGGAAUUCCGCGUGUAGCAGUGAAAUGCGUAGAGAUGCGGAGGAACACCGAUGGCGAAGGCAGCCCCCUGGGCCAACACUGACGCUCAGGCACGAAAGCGUGGGGAGCAAACAGG
rnacentral:rRNA from 1 species